rnacentral:rRNA from 1 species
CUACGGGGGGCUGCAGUGGGGAAUAUUGCACAAUGGAGGAAACUCUGAUGCAGCAACGCCGCGUGGAGGAUGACACUUUUCGGAGCGUAAACUCCUUUUAUAUAGGAAGAUAAUGACGGUACUAUAUGAAUAAGCACCGGCUAACUCCGUGCCAGCAGCCGCGGUAAUACGGAGGGUGCAAGCGUUACUCGGAAUCACUGGGCGUAAAGAGCGUGUAGGCGGGUUAAUAAGUCAGAAGUGAAAUCCUAUGGCUCAACCAUAGAACUGCUUUUGAAACUGUUAACCUAGAAUAUGGGAGAGGUAGGUGGAAUUUCUGGUGUAGGGGUAAAAUCCGUAGAGAUCAGAAGGAAUACCGAUUGCGAAGGCGAUCUACUGGAACAUUAUUGACGCUGAGACGCGAAAGCGUGGGGAGCAAACAGGAUUAGAUACCCUUGUAGUC